CAAUAAUUUAUUUUAUUUUACAAAGACGCUUGUUCUAGAUCUAAAUGCUUACUAAAACAAUCUUUUGUGAAAACCAGCUCGUUGAAAAAAUUAAAAAUACUAUAAAUAUUUUCUAUAAUCUCCCGACUGCUCAGCCCAGGGCCAUAUCCUAAAAAGAAGAGAAGAAGAAUUAUUUUUAGGUUAUGAACACAUAAACUAACCUAACUUAAGGAAGAAAUCAACGUUUUCUCUUAGUUCCUAGGGCUUAAAGGGUUUGAGUUUUGCGAUUCUUCAAUGUACCACAAGUGCAUUGUUGUCUCAAUACUUUUUAUUUAAUAUAGCAUAGUCCAGCUUACCUGCAAUACAAUAUAUCCACAUGGACUUAAUAGACAAAUUAAAGCUCAAAUACCCUGGCCUUAAAAAACAUUCUUGUAAAGUGAAUUUACCAGAAGAUGCUAGAUAUUCUCUGCUUUUAGUGCCAAAAACCAUUGAUCCUCAAAGUUUAGUAAAUUUGAAAGCCCACUUAGCGAAAGAUACUUUGGUGAUUUUGAAUAAAAAGGAGUAUAUGUUUCAAGUUUCAACCAAAAAGCCUGAUCCAAUGUUACUCAGUUUAGAAGGAGGUAAAAUAGUACAGCCUGAAAGCAUCCAAGUUCUGCAACGGUAUGUUCCAAAAUUGGUUGCCCAACCUCCUGAAGUUAUUUUAAGGGAAAAUAUUGCCUUACCUACAGAUUUAAAACCGCGCCAUCCACUUUUUGGAGUAAAUUACAAAGAAAAGUUGCAUCUAGGUAAUUCUGUUAAGGCUAAACUUCACGAGGCAGUUGAAAACAAAUGUAAAGUUGAGAGGAAGUUGAUCAAGAAACAGUAUAAGAAAAAGAGGAAAAGUUCAAAAGUUGAAGAUGUUGAAGAAUUCCUGUUUAAAAGUUUAAAGUAAUAUUAAACAUAAAUCGAAUGUGACAAAGCAUAUUGUGGUGACUCUAUUUUUAAAUUUUGCCCAUAGAAACAUUCUAAUUUCAUUCAAAGUGACGCCAAGAGGACAUAACAUCUAUACAAAGAACAAUUAUUAAGUAAAAUUUCGUGGAAAAUUGUUCGGACUAUAAUUUGGCAGGUGUUCAAUGAUUUUUAGAUUUGUGGACCUGCCAUACCCGUCGCGACAGUGUGAAUUUCCUGAUAUAAUAUUAUCCGAAAAUAAAAACUAUGUGAACUGGAUACAAUAUUAGCCAGAAAAUGCGGAAAUCGUCUACUUAUCUCAAUGGCAUACUGGCUAUAAAAAUGUCUCCAGGCAACAAUUUUUAACCCCAAAAUAAUAUAGUAAUAAAUGUAUUGUUAAACUUUAUUUUUUAAUAUAUGGCGUUUAUAGCCUUGA